GCCAGACCCCUACGGGAGGCAGCAGUAGGGAAUAUUGCUCAAUGGGGGAAACCCUGAUGCAGCGACGCCGCGUGGGUGACGAAGUAUUUCGGUAUGUAAAGCCCUAUCAGCAGGGAAGAAGAUGACAGUACCUGACCAAGAAGCCCCGGCUAACUACGUGCCAGCAGCCGCGGUAAUACGUAGGGGGCAAGCGUUAUCCGGAUUUACUGGGUGUAAAGGGAGCGUAGACGGCAGGGCAAGUCUGGAGUGAAAGGCAGGGGCCCAACCCCUGGACUGCUCUGGAAACUGUCCGGCUGGAGUGCAGGAGAGGUAAGUGGAAUUCCUAGUGUAGCGGUGAAAUGCGUAGAUAUUAGGAGGAACACCAGUGGCGAAGGCGGCUUACUGGACUGUAACUGACGUUGAGGCUCGAAAGCGUGGGGAGCAAACAGGAUUAGAUACCCGAGUAGC
rnacentral:rRNA from 1 species